rnacentral:miRNA from 1 species
CAAGGCGGUAGGGAAGUUUCUAU